GAGUUUGAUCUUGGCUCAGGAUGAACGCCGGCGGUGUGCCUAAUACAUGCAAGUCGUACGCACUGGCCCAACUGAUUGAUGGUGCUUGCACCUGAUUGACGAUGGAUCACCAGUGAGUGGCGGACGGGUGAGUAACACGUAGGUAACCUGCCCCGGAGCGGGGGAUAACAUUUGGAAACAGAUGCUAAUACCGCAUAACGAACAAAGGCCACAUGGCUUUUGUUUGAAGAUGGCUUUGGCCAUCACUCUGGGAUGGACCUGCGGUGCAUUAGCUAGUUGGUAAGGUAACGGCUUACCAAGGCGAUAAUGCAUAGCCGAGUUGAGAGACUGAUCGGCCACAAUGGAACUGAGACACGGUCC
rnacentral:rRNA from 1 species